AGAGAGCCAGGCCGAGGAGGGCCCAGGCGGGGCGCCCUGACCCGGCCUCUACCUUCCAGAGAAGCAGCCCGGCCUGGUGAUGGAGCGCGCUCUGCUCAGUGAUGAGAGAGUCCUGAAGGAAAUCCAGAGCACACUGGAGGGAGACCGCGGGAGCGGCAACUGGCGUUCACAUCGAGCCGCCGUGGGGUGCAGCCUCAGCAAUGGCGGAGAGUGAGUGGCUGAGCGUCCAGGCUGCGCGAUGAGCACACACUACUACUGAUGGCCUUUCGGGGGUCCCUGCCCCAACCGGAGAGGCCGGUGCACAGGGCCCCGCCAGGGGCUGGGGGCAUCCCGGCUUCCACAAUGCAGCUGCUCUGGGCCUCGGGAGAGGAGAGACCCCAGUCCCCUGGGCUGCCCUUCCCGGGCCUCGUCUGUCUGGGUCCUUUGGUCAAUGUUGCACAGUUUUUAUUGCUCCCAUCCCUUUUUGUAGUGGGCUGGGUUUUAAGUUAUAAAUGUUAACUGCCUCUGGGUGAAAAAGUUUUUAAUAAACACCUAUUACCUCUU
rnacentral:lncRNA from 1 species